AUUGGUUGGGGAUGGGCUCGCGGCCUAUCAGCUUGUUGGUGAGGUAAUGGCUCACCAAGGCGUCGACGGGUAGCCGGCCUGAGAGGGUGACCGGCCACACUGGGACUGAGACACGGCCCAGACUCCUACGGGAGGCAGCAGUGGGGAAUAUUGCACAAUGGGCGCAAGCCUGAUGCAGCAACGCCGCGUGAGGGAUGACGGCCUUCGGGUUGUAAACCUCUUUUAGCAGGGAAGAAGCGAAAGUGACGGUACCUGCAGAAAAAGCGCCGGCUAACUACGUGCCAGCAGCCGCGGUAAUACGUAGGGCGCAAGCGUUAUCCGGAAUUAUUGGGCGUAAAGAGCUCGUAGGCGGUUUGUCGCGUCUGCUGUGAAAUCCGGAGGCUCAACCUCCGGCCUGCAGUGGGUACGGGCAGACUAGAGUGCGGUAGGGGAGAUUGGAAUUCCUGGUGUAGCGGUGGAAUGCGCAGAUAUCAGGAGGAACACCGAUGGCGAAGGCAGAUCUCUGGGCCGUAACUGACGCUGAGGAGCGAAAGGGUGGGGAGCAAACAGGCUUAGAUACCCUGGUAGUCCACCCCGUAAACGUUGGGAACUAGUUGUGG
rnacentral:rRNA from 1 species